rnacentral:misc_RNA from 1 species
GAAUGAAGAACGCAGCGAAAUGCGAUAAGUAAUGUGAAUUGCAGAAUUCAGUGAAUCAUCGAAUCUUUGAACGCACAUUGCGCCCAUUAGUAUUCUAGUGGGCAUGCCUGUUCGAGCGUCAUUUCAACCCUUAAGCCUAGCUUAGUAUUGGGAAUCGACUUUACUGUCGUUCCUCAAAUUCAACGGCGGAUUUAUAGCAAUCUCUGAACGUAGUAAUUUUUUUUCUCGUUUUUGAAAUACUAUAAACCUCAGCCGCUAAACCCCCAAUUUCUUAUGGUUGACCUCGGAUCAGGUAGGAAUACCCGCUGAACUUAAGCAUAUCAAUAAGCGGAGGA